rnacentral:misc_RNA from 1 species
AGCAGCCGCGGUAAUUCCAGCUCCAAUAGCGUAUAUUAAAGUUGUUGCAGUUAAAAAGCUCGUAGUUGAAUUUCGGGAUUGACGUGAUGGUCGUGCCUUACGGGGUAUGAACUGUUGCAGUCAAUUUCUCACCUUCUGGAGAAAUAUGGUGUCCUUAAUUGGGUGUCAUAUGGAACCAGAACUUUUACCUUGAAAAAUUAGAGUGUUUAAAGCAGGCUUAUUGCUCGAAUACAUUAGCAUGGAAUAAUAAAAUAGGACGGCAUGGUUCUAUUUUGUUGGUUUCUAGGAUCACCGUAAUGAUUAAUAGGGAUAGUUGGGGGCAUUAGUAUUCAAUUGUCAGAGGUGAAAUUCUUGGAUUUAUUGAAGACUAACUACUGCGAAAGCAUUUGCCAAGGAUGUUUUCAUUAAUCAAGAACGAAAGUUAGGGGAUCGAAGACGAUCAGAUACCGUCGUAGUCUUAACCAUAAACUAUGCCGACUAGGAAUCAGACGAUGUUAAUUUUUUAAUGACUCGUUUGGU